rnacentral:rRNA from 1 species
AGAGUUUGAUCAUGGCUCAGGAUGAACGCUAGCUACAGGCUUAACACAUGCAAGUCGAGGGGCAGCAUGAACUUAGCUUGCUAAGUUUGAUGGCGACCGGCGCACGGGUGAGUAACACGUAUCCAACCUGCCGAUGACGUCGGGGAUAGUCCUUUACGAAAGAAAGAUUAACUACCCGAUGGCAUAGUUCUUCCGCAUGGU